UACAGAGGUGGCAAGCGUUGUUCGGAAUUACUGGGCGUAAAGGGCGAGUAGGUGGCCAUCUAAGUCAGACGUGAAAUCCCCCGGCUUAACCUGGGAACUGCGUCUGAUACUGGACGACUAGAGUUUGGGAGAGGGAUGCAGAAUUCCAGGUGUAGCGGUGAAAUGCGUAGAGAUCCGGAAGAACACCGGUGGCGAAGGCGGCCCGCUGGGCAGUGACUGACGCUGAGGCGCGACAGCGUGGGGAGCAAACAGG
rnacentral:rRNA from 1 species